rnacentral:rRNA from 1 species
UAACUCCGUGCCAACAGCCGCGGUAAUACGGAGGGUGCAAGCGUUAUCCGGAUUUAUUGGGUUUAAAGGGUGCGUAGGCGGAUUUUUAAGUCAGUGGUGAAAUCCUGCAGCUCAACUGUAGAACUGCCAUUGAUACUGAAAUACUUGAGUACUCUUGAAGUAGGCGGAAUGUGUAGUGUAGCGGUGAAAUGCUUAGAUAUUACACAGAACACCGAUUGCGAAGGCAGCUUACUAAGGAUUUACUGACGCUCAUGCACGAAAGUGUGGGGAUCAAACAGGAUUAGAUACCCUGGUAGUCCACACUGUAAACGAUGAUGACUCGCUGUCGGCGAUAUACAGUCAGAGACUUAGCGAAAGCGUUAAGUCAUCCACCUGGGGAGUACGAUCGCAAGAAUGAAACUCAAAGGAAUUGAC